CCUACGGGAGGCAGCAGUGGGGAAUAUUGGGCAAUGGGCGCAAGCCUGACCCAGCAACGCCGCGUGAAGGAAGAAGGCUUUCGGGUUGUAAACUUCUUUUAAGAGGGAAGAGCAGAAGACGGUACCUCUUGAAUAAGCCACGGCUAACUACGUGCCAGCAGCCGCGGUAAUACGUAGGUGGCAAGCGUUAUCCGGAUUUACUGGGUGUAAAGGGGGCGCAGACGGUCCUGCAAGUCUGGAGUGAAACGCAUGAGCUCAACUCAUGCAUGGCUUUGGAAACUGGAGGACUGGAGAGCAGGAGAGGGCGGUGGAACUCCAUGUGUAGCGGUAAAAUGCGUAGUUAUAUGGAAGAACACCAGUGGCGAAGGCGGCCGCCUGGCCUGUUGCUGACGCUGAGGCACGAAAGCGUGGGGAGCAAAUAGGAUUAGAUACCCGAGUAGUA
rnacentral:rRNA from 1 species